CUACAGUAACUGGCUACUGUGGUGCUGCAUUCUAUACCAUGGUAACAUAUGGCAACAUGGGCCGCAACUGGAUUCCUUAUGUGGGCUCAAGAGAACUUGGUGGAAGUCUGCUUGCCCUGUACAAGUAUAAUGCCAAUUUGUCCAAUUUCUGGAUGACUGCCAUACAAUUCAAUUGAUGCCACAUAUGAAGUGAUCAGUUCUUCAGGCAUCAGAAGCCGGCUUGACUUGACCUUGAAGGAUAUUGAGACCAUGGUUGUGGUGGCUAACUUCUCUCUGUCCUGCAGUUUCCCUACAAAGAUGAUUGAUUGCUUCACAAUGGAACUAUGGCAGCUCUUGCUGUGAAAGUGGAAUCUGUCCCCAGCUUGUCUCCAAGUCAACUAACUCUAAGGGAUCUGAGUUGCCGGCCUCUUCAGUCUGAUGCUAUCAAUGCGCUUUUCUACUUCAAUGUCAACUCCUGUGGAACAACUAGAAGGGUUAUUGACACAUUGAAAACAGUAUGAGGAGGUUCUUCAACAUAUGGCCACCCCUUUUCAACAACACCCCUGAAUCAAUCUUGGGGGGGGGGGGGG